ensembl:lncRNA
GGACACUGUUGCUGAAUCUCUGUACUCACGCGCACACAGUGCCAAACAGCAACUGCUGAUCCCAGUAAGGCAAACUGUUCCUCACUUGAACCUGCGAAAUUUUUUUUUUUUUUUUUUUUUUUUUUUUUUUUGUUGUUGUGUGGGUUUUUUUUUUUUUUUUUUUUUUUUUUAAUCAAAGCCAUACCUGUUAAUUUGUUUGUGUUUACAUGCAUCAUCAUCACUUUAGGUAAAAGUGGGAACACACUCAGAUUGCACUUAAUUCAAUUCCUUAUAGUGUUUUAAGUUUUUACCCGUUCAAAUCUAGUUAUUCUUGAGGCCUAGACGUCCCUGUUGUCCUAUUUUAAUGUAAGUUAUUCCAGAUUGAGGUAAAAGAAAUCGUUAGAUUAGGACAAGAUGAAGGAAAUGAUGUCAGUCUGAGCUGCUCAGAUCGCAUUUCCUCACCAAAGGUCAGUACAACCUGUGGUCUGUGCAACCCCUUUGAAACACUGGAAUCAGGUUUUAGUAAGCUUGUGUUCUUAUCAUUAUUAUCAUUGUUUAGAAUGGACAGAACUGGUUAGUGUUUAAAUGCUUUUGCAGGAUCUGUAGCCCAACGUUAUAUUUAAAGUCUUCCUUAGGUUCUCAUACUUGCGUUGCUUCAGUGACAGACUGCAUGCUUUAAGGCCAGCUGUCAGAUGCAGAUUCAACGCAACCACUGAGCUCUGGGUUUAACCGACACUGCUGUGAGGUGCGAGGAGAUGUUUAAAAGUGCCAUAUGUUGAUGUCCGUUUGUGUUUAAUUCUGCUUCUAGUUGUGAAUCUAAAUGGAGGGCUCAUAAAUCUGGCACUCGUCGCCCCUCCCCUCCAUCCACAUCCUGUUGAGUCAGUUCUUGGCUCGCUGCCUUGGCCUUUCCGCUGUGGAUCAGUGGCAUAAAGACCGAAUUGUGUUUGAUAAUGGAAUUCAAAGCAGGGACCCGAAUAUUAAACCGCAGACUGAGACUCGAUGUUCGGUACUUUUGCCCUUUCCCACGAUUGGCUCCAGCAGAGAGUCCGCCACAUGUUCGAGCGUAUUCUAAAGUUUGCAUUCCUGCAGCUCCAGGCGGGGAACACGUGGCGCUCAGUAUUUUUUAUGUCCUUGGUGUGUUUUCAAGUAUUUGCGGGUAUAUCAUUAAAGACUGAUCACUGUAAUGAAGGGAUACUCCACUUUACUUUUGUACUUCAGAGUUUUAGAGUUAUAGUAGCAGUUUUAAGAGUUAUAUUUAGAUUUUUAUUGAAUAGAGAAUGAAAGAUGUUGAGUGUAAAUGGUAGUUUUUAUUCUAAGUAAAUUGCCUUUCUUCAUGUUCAACCAACAGAACUAAUGAGCUGAAUGGUUACAAGGUCAAACUGAACACAUUUCGUUAUUUACUUGGGCUCAGAGUCCGUCGGGCUCUCAUUUGCUUUGUAAUUUAUUGAAAAGGAAGCCUGUGUGUGCUCCUUUAAUGUCUUCAUGAACCGGGUGAAAUGAACCGAAUCGGGCCGUCUCGCUCAAGGCCCAGACCGUGGCAGCUUGUUCUGAAGUGUAAUGUCUUUGUUCAUUUCUGUAGGCAAAUCUGUGAUUGUGUGUAAUUAUUACAAUGCAAUGUUUCAUGUAAAUAAAAUGGG